rnacentral:rRNA from 1 species
GACGAACGCUGGCGGCGUGCUUAACACAUGCAAGUCGAACGGAAAGGCCCUGCUUUUGUGGGGUGCUCGAGUGGCGAACGGGUGAGUAACACGUGAGUAACCUGCCCUUGACUUUGGGAUAACUUCAGGAAACUGGGGCUAAUACCGGAUAGGAGCUCCUGCUGCAUGGUGGGGGUUGGAUAGUUUCGGCGGUUGGGGAUGGACUCGCGGCUUAUCAGCUUGUUGGUGGGGUAGUGGCUUACCAAGGCUUUGACGGGUAGCCGGCCUGAGAGGGUGACCGGCCACAUUGGGACUGAGAUACGGCACAGACUCGUACGGGAGGCAGGAGUGGGGAAUAUUACACAAUGGGCGGAAGCCUGAUGCAGCAACGCCGCGUGCGGGAUGACGGCAUUCGGGUUGUAAACCGCUUUCGCCUGUGACGAAGCGUGAGUGACGGUAAUGGGUAAAGAAGCACCGGCUAACUACGUG